rnacentral:rRNA from 1 species
ACGGCGCAACGCGACACGACGCUGACACUGACGAUCACAAUCACGACUACCAUGAAUUGACACUGACGCUGAUUUGAUCAUCAUGAUCUGAUAUGACACUAUGUUAUAUCAGAUCAUCUUAGAUCAUCUUAGAUCACAUCGUCUGGUCCCGUCUCAACUCUGAGACGACAUAAGACGAUACUAUACUAUAUUAUACUAUACUGGCUACUGUACUGGCUGGUGAAUGGCUCGGCUCGAGAGCCGAUGACGGACGUGCCAAGCUGCGAUAAGCCUGAGGGAGCCGCACGGAGGCCAAGAACUCAGGAUCUCCGAAUGGGAAUCCCCACUGCAAUUGCAUCUCGCAAUAGGGAACGCCCCGAAUUGAAACAUCUUAGUAGGGGCAGGAACAGAAAGCAACCGCGAUAUCGUUAGUAACCGCGAGUGAACACGACCUAGUCCAAACCGAAUCCGCAAGGAAAUGUGGUGUUCGGACCAACAACCACGAAUCAGACGAGCUCGAGAAAUCUCCUGGAACGGAGUACGAUACAGGGUGACAGUCCCGUAUCGGACUUACCUGAUUCCGCGUUGACUCCAGAGUCGCAAGGGUUGGCUAUCCCUUGUCAAUUCCGCAGACAUCAACUGCGAAGACUACACACUCCUCGAGACCGAUAGCGAACAAGUAGCGUGAGCGAACGCUGCAAAGCACCCCGAACAGGGCGGUGCAAUAGGGCCUGAACUCAGUCAGUGAUAGAACGACGAGGCAUACAAGGUCCCACUCCAAACGACCUGAGAGCAAUCUCACUGUAGAACGAGUGGGAAGCCGAUGUCGCGUCGUACGUUUUGAAAAACGACCCAGGGAGUGCAUCCACCCGGCAAGUCUAACUGGUCCACCCAGGAAGACGCAGGGAAACCGAUAUGACCGCAGUCACGAGCUCUGCUCGCGACCAGGGUCACCGUACUUACAUGCGGGGAGUCGCGUGGAUGCGACCCGAAACCAAGUGAUCUACGCGCGGGCAAGGUGAAGCGUGCCGAAAGGUGCGUGGAGGCCUGCUAGGGAUGGUGUCCUACAAUACCCUCCCGUGACCCACGCGUAGGGGUGAAAGGCCCAUCGAACUUGGCAACAGCUGGUUCCAGCCGACACAUAUCGAAGUAUGCCCUCAGCCGAGGUAGUCUGCGAGGUAGAGCUACCGAUUGGAUAGUCCGCCUCCGAGAGGAGUCGGCUAUGCUGUCAAACUCCAAACUUGCAGACGCCGCAGACGCUGGGAAUCCGGAUUGCGGGGUAAGCCUGUGAUCCGUGAGGGAGACAACCCAGAGCAAGGUUAAGGUCCCCAAGUGUGGAUUAAGUGCAACUGAAGGUUGUCUCGAGCCCUAAACAGCCGGGAGGUGAGCUUAGAAGCAGCUACCCUCUAAGAAAAGCGUAACAGCUUACCGGCCGAGGUUCGAGGCGCCCAAAAUGAUCGGGGCUCAAAUCCACCACCGAGACCCUGCAAUACUAUUCAACAAGUAACUUUGUAGGCUUGGCGUACUGACCGGACGGAAGUACGGACGAGAGUUCGUGUGGACCGCUCAGUAACGAUAAUCCUGGUCACAGUAGCAGCGAUAGUCGGGUGUGACCCCCGACGGCCUUACGAGCAAGGGUUCCUCGGCACUGCUAAUCAGCCGAGGGUUAGCCGGUCCUAAGUCUGACCGUAACUCGACUCAGACAAACAGGGAAACUGGUUAAUAUUCCAGUGCCAUCGUGUGUUAUCGAACGCUU